rnacentral:rRNA from 1 species
UACGAAGGGGGCUAGCGUUGCUCGGAAUCACUGGGCGUAAAGCGCACGUAGGCGGCUUUUUAAGUCAGGGGUGAAAUCCUGGAGCUCAACUCCAGAACUGCCUUUGAUACUGGGAAGCUUGAGUCCGGAAGAGGUGAGUGGAGCUCCGAGUGUAGAGGUGAAAUUCGUAGAUAUUCGGAAGAACACCAGUGGCGAAGGCGGCUCUCUGGGACGGUACUGACGCUGAGACGCGAAAGCGUGGGGAGCGAACAGG